GAACGGGAAAGCAAUGUUAUUUCCGACGUGCGAUUGCGAACGAAUUUUCGUUACUGGCGAACAUAUCGCUUGGACUGUACGACAACAAUUUUAUACUGGCAAUGACUGGUUUUAUAUUCUGCCGCAGAGGAAAUAUUUUGCGCAAGAAAUUUUUUGAAAAAUAUCUCGGAACUGUAGAUAGAACAACGGCAAUACGAAAAUGAAAAUGAGAAAGGAGGAGAGAGAUUCUCGCUCUGUUGACACAGAGACUUCAAAUGGCCGUUCUCAGAAUAGAACUGAAAGCUUUUCCGAACAGUUACAUCAAUUUGCAUAACUGAGUUCCGUUCGUAUUUUAUUUAGAUUAACUCUUCGU